GAUGAACGCUGGCGGCGUGCCUAAUACAUGCAAGUCGAGCGAACGGACGAGAAGCUUGCUUCUCUGAUGUUAGCGGCGGACGGGUGAGUAACACGUGGAUAACCUACCUAUAAGACUGGGAUAACUUCGGGAAACCGGAGCUAAUACCGGAUAAUAUUUUGAACCGCAUGGUUCAAAAGUGAAAGACGGUCUUGCUGUCACUUAUAGAUGGAUCCGCGCUGCAUUAGCUAGUUGGUAAGGUAACGGCUUACCAAGGCAACGAUGCAUAGCCGACCUGAGAGGGUGAUCGGCCACACUGGAACUGAGACACGGUCCAGACUCCUACGGGAGGCAGCAGUAGGGAAUCUUCCUCAAUGGGCGAAAGCCUGACGGAGCAACGCCGCGUGAGUGAUGAAGGUCUUCGGAUCGUAAAACUCUGUUAUCAGGGAAGAACAUAUGUGUAAGUAACUGUGCACAUCUUGACGGUACCUAAUCAGAAAGCCACGGCUAACUACGUA
rnacentral:rRNA from 1 species